GACAAAUAUUGCAUGAAGCAUCAACUUCUCAGGAACUGUAUUAGCAUUGACCUCCACAUAAACCAUCAAUUAAAUCACCCUUCCUUUAGGCUUCAUCAAAUAUGUUCAUUAAUAUAAACUUGCCAGAUUCGGAACUGGAAGCAUCACCAUCAACUGUAAACUCCAAUAAUGCCAGCAUUUUUAACCUUGAAGAAAUGGUAAGUAGGUUUUAGUGAUACCAGGCCAUCCAGCUUUCCA
rnacentral:misc_RNA from 1 species